rnacentral:rRNA from 1 species
GACGAACGCUGGCGGCGUGCCUAAUACAUGCAAGUUGAGCGCUGAAGGUUGGUACUUGUACCAACUGGAUGAGCAGCGAACGGGUGAGUAACGCGUGGGGAAUCUGCCUUUGAGCGGGGGACAACAUUUGGAAACGAAUGCUAAUACCGCAUAAAAACUUUAAACACAAGUUUUAAGUUUGAAAGAUGCAAUUGCAUCACUCAAAGAUGAUCCCGCGUUGUAUUAGCUAGUUGGUGAGGUAAAGGCUCACCAAGGCGAUGAUACAUAGCCGACCUGAGAGGGUGAUCGGCCACAUUGGGACUGAGACACGGCCCAAACUCCUACGGGAGGCAGCAGUAGGGAAUCUUCGGCAAUGGACGAAAGUCUGACCGAGCAACGCCGCGUGAGUGAAGAAGGGUUUCGGAUCGUAAAACUCUGUUGGUAGAGAGGAACGUUGGUGAGAGUGGAAAGCUCAUCAAGUGACGGUAACUACCCAGAAAGGGACGGCUAACUACGUG